rnacentral:pre_miRNA from 7 species
GUCUCGGUCUCUUGGGUGGUUGCAUCAAUCCCGGACGAGCCCCCAAAUGAAAGAUCCCCAAAGGGAGACCCUCACUCAAGCCUCGGGAUGUGGCGCGGACCCAAGAGAGACUGAAAUGGCG